GCUCAAAUUUGAAAUCUGGCCCUUGGGUCCGAAUUGUAAUUUGUAGAGGAUGAUUUUGGUGCGGUAUCUUCCGAGUUCCUUGGAACAGGACGCCUUAGAGGGUGAGAGCCCCGUACGGUUGAAUGCCUAGCCUCUGUAAAUCUCCUUCGACGAGUCGAGUAGUUUGGGAAUGCUGCUCUAAAUGGGAGGUAAAUUUCUUCUAAAGCUAAAUACUGGCCAGAGACCGAUAGCGCACAAGUAGAGUGAUCGAAAGAUGAAAAGCACUUUGAAAAGAGGGUUAAAUAGCACGUGAAAUUGUUGAAAGGGAAGGAUUUAUGACCAGACUUUUUCUGGGCGGAUCAUCCGGUGUUCUCACCGGUGCACUUUGCCCAGUUUAGGCCAGCAUCGAUUUUUGGAGAGGGAUAAAAGCUUUAGGAAUGUGGCUCCUCCGGGAGUGUUAUAGCCUAUUGUAUAAUACCUUUCCGGGGAUCGAGGUACGCGCUUCUGCAAGGAUGCUGGCGUAAUGGUUAUCAAUCACCCGUCUUGAAACACGGACCAAGGAGUCGAACAUUUGUGCGAGUGUUUGGGUGUUAAACCCUCACGCGUAAUGAAAGUGAACGGAGGUGAGAGCCCUUACGGGUGCAUCAUCGACCGAUCCUGAAGUUUUCGGAUGGAUUUGAGUAAGAGCAUAACUGUUCGGACCCGAAAGAUGGUGAACUAUGCGUGGAUAGGGUGAAGCCAGAGGAAACUCUGGUGGAGGCUCGCAGCGGUUCUGACGUGCAAAUCGAUCGUCAAAUCUGCGCAU
rnacentral:rRNA from 1 species